rnacentral:rRNA from 1 species
AGCAGCCGCGGUAAUUCCAGCUCCAAUAGCGUAUAUUAAAGUUGUUGCAGUUAAAAAGCUCGUAGUUGAAUUUCGGGACCAAAUUGUCGGUCGUGCCUCGGUACGUACUGGCGUUAUUGGUUCCUCCCUUCUGAAGAACUACGAUGUCAUUAAUUUGGUGUCGCGGGGAAUCAGGACUGUUACUUUGAAAAAAUUAGAGUGUUUAAAGCAGGCUCGCGCUUGAAUACAUUAGCAUGGAAUAAUGAAAUAGGACGUUUGAUUCUAUUUUGUUGGUUUCUAGGAUCGACGUAAUGAUUAAUAGGGAUAGUUGGGGGCAUUAGUAUUCAAUUGUCAGAGGUGAAAUUCUUGGAUUUAUUGAAGACUAACUACUGCGAAAGCAUUUGCCAAGGAUGUUUUCAUUAAUCAAGAACGAAAGUUAGGGGAUCGAAGACGAUCAGAUACCGUCGUAGUCUUAACCAUAAACUAUGCCGACUAGGGAUCGGAUGAUGUUAAUUUUUUAAUGUACUCAUUCGGCGCCUUA